UAUAACUAAAAAUUUGAAAAGCGACUUUGCCAACCGAUGCACAAUUAUUUAUUAUUUCUCCAUAAACGACUGUGAGAUGCUUUCUCGUCAACUUGUUGACGUUAGCAUACCGGCUGAUUUUUAUCAUUCACAUUUACUGGAAGUCGCAAAAUCAAAUCGUAUUAUAACUGGAUGGAAGGUCUAUCUCUGGUGAUGUGUGCCACGUUAUCUUUUGGCAUGGGCAUCGACAAGAGAGAUAUGCGAUUUGUUAUACACUUGACGAUGCCAAAGUCAAUGUAAGGCUAUUACCAAGAGUGUGGUCGAGCCGGACGAGACGGCAACAUUUCUCACUGCAUUCUGUACUAUAUAUACAAGGACAGUUACUACAUUCACCAAAUGGUUGAAAAGGGCGACGCAUACGAUGCCGGAUUCUUCCCUGAAACAGAAAGACUAAAGGAUGUGAUGAACUAUUGCGAGAACACGUCGUCUUGCAGGAUGUAUUUAAUUUUGCAACAAUUUGGAGAAAGUUGUAGUAAGAAGGCUUGCAACCGGAAAGCCAAGUGCGAAAAUUGUCGCAUUGUUGCUUUGCGUUGGUGUGUUACAUGUUGAAUAUUUAAUAUUCUUAUUUUGCUGUAGAACUGUGUUAUAGAUGAAGAUGUUACAAAACAAUGUGCAGCUAUAAUUGAUUUAAUUGGUAAACCAAUUUUUCAGGGGAAAAGUGUUACCAUUUUCUUGCUGUAGAUGUGCUGAGAUGCAGCAUUUCCCAAAAAACUGUCGACAGUGGUACUUAACCGUUGACUUUGUUGCAAUAGUUUCAAAUUAAUUUAUUGGAUGUAUUUUAGGAUUUUUUCCGUACCAUAUUCAUGGUUUAUUAAAGAAAUGGCCGAAAAGUGUGAGCGCUUCGUAAAAUUUCUUGUCUUGCGAAAUAAUCUUAGUGAAGAUCUCGUGUCUGGUAACAAACGCAAAGGUCGUACUGCCUUGACCUUCUCAAAUUUCUGCUAUUACGUCUUUAUCGUCUUCAAUUUCACUUUCCGGUACUGAACAUAUGGAUAUUAGUGGUGAUUGUUCCGACGAAGACUUUCAAAGUACCAGUCUAUUGGUAUCCGUGGCAAGAAACGCAAAUAUGAAAACUAAAUGUGGCAUUUGUUGUAUGGAAAUGUUUUUUUUAGUUUUGAAACAUUUUUUGUUUAAUUUGAAACAUAUUUUGGAUUUCAUUCUAAACAAAUU